UGGGGAAUAUUGGACAAUGGGCGAAAGCCUGAUCCAGCCAUGCCGCGUGUGUGAAGAAGGUCUUCGGAUUGUAAAGCACUUUAAGUUGGGAGGAAGGGCAGUAAGUUAAUACCUUGCUGUUUUGACGUUACCGACAGAAUAAGCACCGGCUAACUUCGUGCCAGCAGACGCGGUAAUACGAAGGGUGCAAGCGUUAAUCGGAAUUACUGGGCGUAAAGCGCGCGUAGGUGGUUCGUUAAGUUGGAUGUGAAAGCCCCGGGCUCAACCUGGGAACUGCAUCCAAAACUGGCGAGCUAGAGUAUGGCAGAGGGUGGUGGAAUUUCCUGUGUAGCGGUGAAAUGCGUAGAUAUAGGAAGGAACACCAGUGGCGAAGGCGACCACCUGGGCUAAUACUGACACUGAGGUGCGAAAGCGUGGGGAGCAAACAGG
rnacentral:rRNA from 2 species